GGAGUUAUGAAAUGCAGGCUCGCUAAUAUCGGGUCUAUUUGACAAAGGCUCCAAAGGAAGCCACGGCUAACUCUGUGCCAGCAGCCGCGGUAAUACAGAGGUGGCAAGCGUUGUUCGGAAUUAUUGGGCGUAAAGAGCACGUAGGUGGAUUUGUAAGUCAGAUGUGAAAGCCUUCUGUUCAACGGGAGAAUUGCAUCUGAAACUACAGACCUUGAGUAUAGGAGGGGAGAGUG
rnacentral:rRNA from 1 species